rnacentral:rRNA from 1 species
AGUUCGAUUAUGGCUCAGAUUGAACGCUGGCGGGAUGCUUUACACAUGCAAGUCGAACGGCAGCACGGACUUCGGUCUGGUGGCGAGUGGCGAACGGGUAGGUAAUGUAUCGGAACGUGCCUAGUAGCGGGGGAUAACUACGCGAAAGCGUAGCUAAUACCACGCAUACGCCCUUCGGGGGAAAGCGGGGACCUUCGGGCCUCGCACGCAAUAGAGCGGCCGAUAUCGGAUUAGCUAGUUGGUGGGGUAACGGCUCGCAAGGCGACGAUCCGUAGCUGGUUUGAGAGGACGACCAGCCACACUGGGACUGAGACACGGCCCAGACUCCUACGGGGAGAGCAGCAGUGGGGAAUUUUGGACAAUGGGGGAAACCCUGAUCCAGCCAUCCCGCGUGUGCGAUGAAGGCCUUCGGGUUGUAAAAGCACUUUUUUGGCAGGAAAGAAACGGCACGGGAUAAUACCCGUGCAACUAUUGUGCCGCAGAAUAAGCACCGGCUAACGCUACGUGCCAGCAGCCGCGGUAAUACGUAGGGUGCAAGCAUUAAUCGGAAUUACUGGGCAUGGCCCGUGCGCAGGCGGUUCGGAAAGAAAGAUGUGAAAUCCCAGAGCUUAACUUUGGAACUGCAUUUUUAACUACCGAGCUAGAGUGUGUCAGAGGAGGUGGAAUUCCGCGUGUAGCAGUGAAAUGCGUAGAUAUGCGGAGGGAACACCGAUAAUGAAGGCAGCCUCCUGGGAUAACACUGACGCUCAUGCGCGAAAGCGUGGGGGUAAAACAGGAUUAGAUACCCUGGUAGUCCACGCCCUAAACGAUGUCAACUAGCUGUUGGGGCCUUCGGGCCUUGGUAGCGCAGCUAACGCGUGAAGUUGACCGCCUGAAGUACGGUCGCAAAGAUUAAAACUCAAAGGAAUUGACGGGGACCCGCACAAGCGGUGGAUGAUGUGGAUUAAUUCGAUGCAACGCGAAGCCUUACCUACCCUUGACAUGUCUGGAAUCCCGAAGAGAUUUGGGAGUGCUCAUAAGAGAGAACCGGAACACAGGUGCUGCAUGGCUGUCGUCAGCUCGUGUCGUGAGAUGUUGGGUUAAGUCCCGCAACAGGCGCAACCCUUGUCAUUAGUUGCUACGAAGGGCACUCUAAUGAGACUGCCGGUGACAAACCGGAGGAAGGUGGGGAUGACGUCAAGUCCUCAUGGCCCUUAUGGGUAGGGCUUCACGUCAUACAAUGGUCGGGACAGAGGGUCGCCAACCCGCGAAGGGGAGCCAAUCCCAGAAACCCGAUCUAGUCCGGAUCGCAGUCUGCAACUCGACUGCGUGAAGUCGGAAUCGCUGGCGUAAUCGCGGAUCAGCAUGUCGCGGUGAAUACGUUCCCAGGUCUUGUACACACCGCCCGUCACACCAUGGGAGUGGGUUUACCAAGAAGUAGUUAGCCUAACCGUAAAGGAGGGCGAUUACCACGGUAGGAUUCAUGACUGGGGUGAAGUCGUAAUAAGGUAG